UGCCAGCCGCCGCGGUAAUACGGAGGGGGUCAGCGUUGUUCGGAAUUACUGGGCGUAAAGCGCACGUAGGCGGAUUAGAAAGUUGGAGGUGAAAUCCCAGGGCUUAACCCUGGAACUGCCUUCAAAACUACAUUUCUUGAGUUUGGUAGAGGAGAGUGGAAUUCCUAGUGUAGAGGUGAAAUUCGUAGAUAUUAGGAGGAACACCAGUGGCGAAGGCGGCUCACUGGCUCGAUACUGACGCUGAGGUACGAAAGUGUGGGGAGCAAACAGGAUUAGAUA
rnacentral:rRNA from 1 species